UUCCUGUGAACCAACCAGUGAUCUCUGGCCGCAGCUCAGAAGAAACAAGAGGAAUAGGUAACAUAAAACUCUGGAUAAAUAUUCUAAUUCUAGGAAUACAUUGGAAUUGGCUAGUAAGCCCAUCCACUCAAGUCUUAGCAGGCAUGACAAUAGCCACCAGUUACCUGAGCAUGUUGGCAGCCUCGGGAUUUUUUGGAGUCGUCCUCACCCCCUUAUCUCAUUUUGACAUUCUUCUAAAUCUAAUAAACUGAUUUGUCUCCUCUUGCCUUCAGGCCAUCAAGCUCCAGAUGAUCCUCAGUGAAAGAUACCAUCCUGUCAGUAUUCAAGAAUCACCCUUCUACAAAGGACCCCUAGACUUCCCAUCAAUGAGACAUGACAGAGGCAAAAUCCCACCCCUGUCUCCCUCAGGCCUGGCUGGAUACUGUUUUCACCAACGCAUGGAGCCAUCCUACCCUGACAGCUACAAGAGGUGAAGACCCACAAAACAACCACCACCACCCCUCUAUCAGCAGGAAGCAGUUACAGAAGACUGACGUUUAUCCAUUUUCCCCAAGUAAUUGAGGACUUGGACUCUUGAGGGGGAAAAUGUUGUGGUAGGUAGGUAGUCAGACAUGAGCAGGGCAAGAGAGGGCCCUCUGACCACCGGGAAUGUCAGUCAACCAUCAGGUGAUAGUCAGGCGUUUGUUAAACUGCCUCUGUAACAUAAUAAUUCAUUGCAGCAGGUUCCAGGGAAAGGCAGUCCCCCAACAGACAGAAAAGCCUAAAACUGGUGAUCAGCUUCCUGAUAAGAUGGCAGGAAUUGGGCAAGUGGGCUCAAGCAUAUUAAGAGGCAAAAUGGCAGGGAUUAACUGGUAUGUGACUUUGUAGGAACACUCAACUGGUAAGGGAAGAACAACUCAAGUGGGCAUGCAUACAACUUCAGUAAUCACACUGUGAAUAUAGUGCCUACCAAGUGCCGGGAGGCCACCGUGCAUGUGGACAGCCCAGCCUAAGAGGAGAAUCAGGGAGAAAGAGAUACAACCCCCUGCUCCCUUGGAAGCAUGCCAAUGUAUAAAACCCGAAGUCAAAGGUCAAACAGUGCACUUGAGCCCUGGUGUGAUUCCGUCCUGCGCGGCUGUUCUCUGGAGCAGCAUUUGUUUAUCUCCGUCCACCUUCUCUCCCACCUAAGUGCGUGUUGCCACCUGAUAGAAGAUUCGAUGGACAUGGACAUGAGCCCCCUGAGGCCCUAGAACUAUCUUUUCGGUUGUGAACUAAAGGCCAACAAAGAUGAUCACUUUAAGGUGGAUAAUGAUGAAAAUGAGCACCAGUUAUCUUUAAGAAUCGUCAGUUUAGGGGCUAGUGCAAAGGAUGAAUUGCACAUUGUUGAAGCAGAGGCAAUGAAUUACGAAGGAAGUCCAAUUAAAGUAACACUGGCAACUUUGAAAAUGUCUGUACAGCCAACGGUUUCCCUUGGGGGCUUUGAAAUAACACCACCAGUGGUCUUAAGGUUGAAGUGUGGUUCAGGGCCAGUGCAUAUUAGUGGACAGCACUUAGUAGCUGUGGAGGAAGAUGCGGAGUCAGAAGAUGAAGAGGAGGAGGACAUCAAACUCUUAAGUAUAUCUGGAAAGCGGUCUGCCCUUGGAGGUGGUAGCAAGGUUCCACAGAAAAAAGUAAAACUUGCUGCUGAUGAAGAAGAUGAUGAUGAUGAAGAUGAUGAUGAUGAUGAUGAUUCUGAUGAUGAGGAAGCUGCAGAAAAAGCACCAGUGAAGAAAUCUAUACAAGAUACUCCAGCCAAAGAUGCACAAAAGUCAAAUUAGAAUGGAAAAGACUCAAAACCAUCAUCAACAUCAAGAUCAAAAGGACAAGAAUCCUUCAAAAAUCAGGAAAAGACUCCUAAAACACCAAACGGACCUAGUUUUUAGAAGACAUUAAAGCAAAAAUGCAAGCAAGUAUAGAAAAAGGUGGUUGUCUUCCCAAAGUGGAAGCCAAGUUCAUCAAUUAUGUGAAGAAUUGCUUUUGGAUGACUGACCAAGAGGCUAUUCAAGAUCUCUGGCAGUGGAGGAAGUCUCUUUAAGAAAAUAGUUUAAACAAUCUGUCAAAAAUUUUCCGUCUUAUUUCAUUUCUGUAAUAGUUGAUAUCUGGCUGUCCUUUUUAUAAUGGAGAAUGAGAACUUUCCCUACCAUGUUUGAUAAAUGUUGUCCAGGUUCCAUUGCCAAGAAUGUGUUGUCCAAAAUGCCUGUUUAGUUUUUAAAGAUGGAACUCCACCCUUUGCUUGGUUUUAAGUAUGUAUGGAAUGUUAUGAUAGGACAUAGUAGUAGCGGUGGUCAGACAUGGAAAUGGUGGGGAGACAAAAAUAUACAUGUGAAAUAAAACUCAGUAUUUUAAUAAAGCAAAAAAA